rnacentral:rRNA from 1 species
GACAGAGGUGCCGAGCGUUAGGCGGAAUCACUGGGCUUAAAGCGUGUGUAGGCGGGUCGUUAAGUACCUUGUGAAAUCCCCCCGGCUCAACCGGGGAACGGCUGGGUAUACUGGCGAUCUUGAGCCACCUAGGGGCAGUCGGAACAAGUGGUGGAGCGGUGAAAUGCGUAGAUAUCACUUGGAACGCCAAUGGUGAAAACAGACUGCUGGGGGUGUGCUGACGCUGAGACACGAAAGCCAGGGGAGCAAACGGG